rnacentral:rRNA from 1 species
UACGUAGGGGGCGAGCGUUGUCCGGAAUUACUGGGCGUAAAGGGCGCGCAGGCGGCCGAUCAAGUUAGAUGUGAAAUACCCGGGCUUAACCUGGGAACUGCAUUUAAGACUGGUUGGCUAGGAGUGCAGGAGAGGGAAGCGGAAUUCCUAGUGUAGCGGUGAAAUGCGUAGAUAUUAGGAGGAACACCAGUGGCGAAGGCGGCUUUCUGGACUGUAACUGACGCUGAGGCGCGAAAGCGUGGGGAGCAAA